rnacentral:lncRNA from 1 species
UGUAAGAACAAAAAUUGUUCUACAACAGAUUCCUUGAUUUUGAUGAUAACAAAGGAUGAAACCAAAAAUGGCACCCUAACGAAAAGUUUCUAAGUGUGCAGGAUUCUAAAGAAAGAAGGAAGAAAUCUGAUGAUGUCAUCAGAUACAGAAGCAGAUCAGAUACAUAUUCUCAAAUGAUCAGAAGCAUCUGAUGAGGAAACACGCUC